rnacentral:rRNA from 1 species
GAUGAACGCUGGCGGCGUGCCUAAUAUAUGCAAGUCGAGCGAACAGACGAGGAGCUUGCUCCUCUGACGUUAGCGGCGGACGGGUGAGUAACACGUGGAUAACCUACCUAUAAGACUGGGAUAACUUCGGGAAACCGGAGCUAAUACCGGAUAAUAUAUUGAACCGCAUGGUUCAAUAGUGAAAGACGGUUUUGCUGUCACUUAUAGAUGGAUCCGCGCCGCAUUAGCUAGUUGGUAAGGUAACGGCUUACCAAGGCAACGAUGCGUAGCCGACCUGAGAGGGUGAUCGGCCACACUGGAACUGAGACACGGUCCAGACUCCUACGGGAGGCAGCAGUAGGGAAUCUUCCGCAAUGGGCGAAAGCUUGACGGAGCAACGCCACGUGAGUGAUGAAGGUCUUCGGAUCGUAAAACUCUGUUAUUAGGGAAGAACAAAUGUGUAAGUAACUAUGCACGUCUUGACGGUACCUAAUCAGAAAGCCACGGCUAACUACGUG